UGCCAGCCGCCGCGGUAAUACGAAGGGUGCAAGCGUUGUUCGGAAUUAUUGGGCGUAAAGCGCGUGUAGGCGGUUCGUUAAGUCUGAUGUGAAAGCCCGGGGCUCAACCCCGGAAGUGCAUUGGAAACUGGCGAACUUGAGUACGGGAGAGGAAAGUGGAAUUCCAGAAGUAGGGGUAAAAUCCGUAGAUCUCUGGAGGAACACCAAACGCGAAGGCAUUCUGCUGGUCAUUACCUGACGCUGAGGGACGAAAGCGUGGGGAGCGAACGGGAUUAGAUA
rnacentral:rRNA from 1 species